rnacentral:lncRNA from 1 species
GGAAUAUAUAUAUUGAUUGUAUUUAUUUAUGAUUAGAGUUAUGUGGUUAAUUUAUUGAGCAGUUCCGAUAUUUUUCAGUCAGACGCUACCAAAUCUAUAAAUUUCGGAAGUCUCGGGGAGUACGAGAUUUCAUUAAUUUUAUACUGAAAAGCCUAUCAGAUUCAUUUCCCGUUACAGUGAAAUGCAGUGAAGUUUAGCAGUUGAUAGUUCAUUGAUAACAUUCUGGCGUAUCAUAAACAAACAACUUGUAACGUCUCAUUUCAUUGGCCGAAAGAUUCAAAUACAAAAACAAUGUAGUCAGUGUGCACGUGAAUUGACACAGGUGACCGACAAUGGAAUGUACUAUGUUACUACGAACGUAAAAACAAGGAUUUGUUUAAUUUACAAACCUUUGGUCAAAAGAAUUAAAUAAAUCUUUUGUUAACUUCAAAUAGUGGGGUCAAAAUAUUAUACUGAUAUUUUGUAUUCAGUAAUAUUCUAAGUUCUUUAUGCAUGCAGCAACUCAAUUAUCGUGUACCGCAUAAUGAGAAAUAUAAGGAUAAAAUAAAAUGCAUGUGCCGCUUUUAUACAAAUGAAUAUAUGAACCACUUUUAAUUUCUUUCAUACUGACGAUAGGUUAUAAUCCCAACAAUGCCGUAGUCGCUUAUAAUAAGUAUCUCAUAAUACUGAUCCAUUACAAUAAUUAAUGAUGGGUUGCACUGACAUUCCUCUUUUAUUAUUUUCAUGCUAUAAAACAUACACACAGUAGCUAAGCGUACCAUAAACGGAGGAAAUUGUCCCCCAAAAUAGAAACAAAAUAACUUUAAUCGUAUCAUUUGUGCACCUGAAUGAAUUCAGUGAAGGCAUGUUGUUGUAAUAAAUUGAAAAGUUACAUCGGCGAAGAUUAUUCAGUUC